AUGCAAGUCGAGCGGUAGAGAGAAGCUUGCUUCUCUUGAGAGCGGCGGACGGGUGAGUAAUGCCUAGGAAUCUGCCUGGUAGUGGGGGAUAACGUUCGGAAACGGACGCUAAUACCGCAUACGUCCUACGGGAGAAAGCAGGGGACCUUCGGGCCUUGCGCUAUCAGAUGAGCCUAGGUCGGAUUAGCUAGUUGGUGGGGUAAUGGCUCACCAAGGCGACGAUCCGUAACUGGUCUGAGAGGAUGAUCAGUCACACUGGAACUGAGACACGGUCCAGACUCCUACGGGAGGCAGCAGUGGGGAAUAUUGGACAAUGGGCGAAAGCCUGAUCCAGCCAUGCCGCGUGUGUGAAGAAGGUCUUCGGAUUGUAAAGCACUUUAAGUUGGGAGGAAGGGUUGUAGAUUAAUACUCUGCAAUUUUGACGUUACCGACAGAAUAAGCACCGGCUAACUCUGUGCCAGCAGCCGCGGUAAUACAGAGGGUGCAAGCGUUAAUCGGAAUUACUGGGCGUAAAGCGCGCGUAGGUGGUUAGUUAAGUUGGAUGUGAAAUCCCCGGGCUCAACCUGGGAACUGCAUUCAAAACUGACUGACUAGAGUAUGGUAGAGGGUGGUGGAAUUUCCUGUGUAGCGGUGAAAUGCGUAGAUAUAGGAAGGAACACCAGUGGCGAAGGCGACCACCUGGACUGAUACUGACACUGAGGUGCGAAAGCGUGGGGAGCAAACAGGAUUAGAUACCCUGGUAGUCCACGCCGUAAACGAUGUCAACUAGCCGUUGGGAGCCUUGAGCUCUUAGUGGCGCAGCUAACGCAUUAAGUUGACCGCCUGGGGAGUACGGCCGCAAGGUUAAAACUCAAAUGAAUUGACGGGGGCCCGCACAAGCGGUGGAGCAUGUGGUUUAUUCGAAGCAACGCGAAGAACCUUACCAGGCCUU
rnacentral:rRNA from 1 species